GCGUGUCGCGGCGGCCGACCUUGACGAAGGCGUCCCGCACGUCCAGCGCUUGCUGCAUGCUGAGCGGCGUGGACACGGUUUCUCCCCUGGUGAUCAGCGUCCGGCUCGUCAGGCAGUUCAUCAGGUCCUUGCCGUCCACCUGCGCGCACAAAGACUUCCAGUUCAGUUUUCACUUUACGCUCUGACUUACCCUCCAGAAUGGGAUUGGCCUCCAGGACCUGCUGCUCGAUCCACGAGUGUUGGCCGCUGAUGGCCGCCAGGAACUGCAGGAUAAGCUUGGUGCUUUCGGUCUUACCCGCUCCAGACUCUCCGCUAUUGGGUCGUGCCCCAGAGGAAACUUUUGGGAUCCCGAGUAAAGAAAGUGCUUAUCCUCACAAGGGUCACGGGAGUGCCGGAGCCUAUGCCAGCUAACGUUGGACGAAAGGCGGACUAGACCCUGAACUGGUCGCCAAUCAGCCGGAGGGCACAAUCGACGCCAUCACUGAGCGGGAAUCGAACCCGUGCUUCCCGCACCAAAGUCAGAAAGUGUCAAAGGGAUUUGGACAUCUCGUCUUCGUGUCGUCUUUGUGUGCGGCCAGCGGAGCGUCUGAUUGGGUGUUGUCUGAAAUUCCACAACGCCGCAAAAUGGCAGCCGGCACAGAGUGCGAAGGGGCAGACGUGACGACACCAAACGUUCCCUGACAACAACUGGAGCGAAGUGGAAUAGGAUUGCUACGUAAAUUGAAUAAUGAUAUAGUCCAGAAAUGGACUCGAAUCAGAGCUCAAGUGGCCUAGAACUUGAAGUGUGUCACAAGUGGACAUCUUUGUUGACUUGCACUCCAAAUUAGGGAUGGCUGAAGUGGAGCAUGAUGGAACAAAACAAGUGGAAUAUAAGUGGUCGUAACCGAAAGAACGAGAUCCCGAAUACGGUUCUCCCUUAGAGAACGGGUGAGAAGUUCGCUCAUCCGGGAGGGGCUCAGUGUCGGGCCGCUAGUUCUCCGCAUUGAGAGGAGUCAUAUGAGGUGGCUGGGGAAUCUGAUUCGGAUGCCUCCCGGACGGCUCCCUGGUGAGGUGUUCCGGGCACCUCCCACCGGAAAGAGACCCCGAGGACGACCCGGGACACGCCGGAGGGACUGUGUCUCCCGGCCGGCUUGGGAACGCCUCGGGAUCCCUCCGGAAGAGCUGGAAGAAGUGGCUGGGGAAAGGGGAAGUCUGGGUAUUCCUGCUGAAGCCGACCCGGAAAAGCGGUGGACAAUGGAUGGAUGGAUGGAAUAUAAGUGAAAUCAAAAGAACGCCAGAAGCGGAAUAGAGGUUGAAUACAAAUAGAUCAAAAGUGAAGCGUGGGGACGCCACAAGUGGACUAGAAGUUGACCGCAGGUGGAAUACAAGUGGCCAAAAGGGAAUCAUAAGGGGAAUAAAAGUGGAACAAAAUCAAACAAGUGUAAUCCAUUUUUAGCGUUUAUUAUAUUAGUCCAGUCGUCUAAACUUUUCUGCUGCGUUUAUCACCAUAAAGACUACAAGUGGAAUUCUGGACUCUAACAGGAGUGUUAGCUUUUUGCUUUUAGCAUUAGCUACAUUGCAUGCGGGCUUGCCAGUAUUGUGUCAUGUAAACGUUUGUGUUCUUGGGUUGGCAAAGGCGAAACCAGAACAACGUGACCCACUUUCAUGUGCCGCCAACUUGCGGCACACACUUCCUGUCACCGCUCCAGAACCUGAUCUAGUCACCACGUGGCCUGAGGGCAUCUCCAUCAUCGCCCCCCCCCCCCUUGCCCCUGCUGCGCCCCCCCAGAGAGAGAGAGACACACACACUGGCCCAUUCUGAGCUGGAAAAUGCCAGCAGCGAUGCAUGAUGGGAACUUUCUGGGGCGGCACAAAUGAAAGGUGAAGGACUUUGUCAAAGUCAAUGCGUUGAGCUUUUCAUUCACGUGACACCGAGCCCGCCCAAACUAUCGCUGGAGAAUAUGUAUAAGUUAGCAUACCAACUGUUAGCAUGUUAGCGUUGCAUCCGUUCUCGAUAGAAAUAGUAUGCAACCGGCUGGCAAAAAAUGUAAAAUUCUUACUAAUCCCUCAGGUCUUUUCUCACUCUUGUCAAAUGUUAGCAUAAGAACGCUUAGCUUGUUAGCAUCUGAGCUAUUCUCUUUCAGACCGCAAGGCACAAUGUUAAGUUCAUGGGAAUUGGACCUGAGAUUUGUGAUGUUUGCAUGCUAACUGUGGGCAUUCAAAAUUGGACAAUUGGUAUUUUUUUUACUGAAGUCAAAAUAUUGAUAUUAAUUGGUUAUUGAUGGAUUUUGUACCAAUGCAGACCUAUCGAGGGGAAAAGCCAAUGCCGAUUGUAGGCUGGCCCUGAGACCAGAUUAAUGCAGAGAUGCGUCAGGAAGAGAGUCCGGCUCCACGCUUUGAUAAACAAAUAUAAGCGUUGAUCCAAAGAAUUUCGGAAGAAGACCUUCUGAGCUAAGAACUGUGUGGCGGAACCUGAGAAAGGAAGAAUCUUGUGUGGCUUUUUGAGAAGAGGAGGACAGGAAAAGCUCUCGGAAGACUGGACCACUGCAGUCAAGGUGAUCACACAGAUAGGUAGACAGAGACUGAGGUAGACAGAGAGUACUUUUCGGACCUUCUGGUAGGAAAGCAUAGAAUGAGACUAGGUGGGGGAACCUCAAAGUACAGGAAGUCCUACAAGGAAAGGGGUUAGCAAAGGAGAGGUGGGACACUGAGAGGACUGACUGAGGAGAGGGGAAAGGAAUACAUCCAGAUGCGACGUAGGGCAAAGGUAGAGGUGGCCGAGGCUAAACAAGAGAAAUGUGAUGGUACGUACACCAGGUUGGACACGAAAGAACGAGAAAAGGAUCUCUACAGGUUGGCCAGACCGAGGGACAGAGAUGGGAAGCAUGUGCAGCAGGUAAGGGCGAUUGAGGUGAGCGGUGGAAAUGUGUUGACUGGUGGCAGUAGUGUGCUAAACAGAUCGAAAGAAUACUUUGAGAAGUUGAAGAAAAUGAGAGAGAAGGAAGAGUAGAAGGUGAAGGACCAGGAAGUGGCAAUGACUAGUAAGGGGGAAGUUAGAAAAGCACUAAAGAGGAUGAAAAAUGGAAAGACAGCUGGUCCUGAUGGCAUACCGGUGGAGGUAUGGAAGAAAUUUGGGGAGGUGGCUGUGGAGUUUUUGACCAACAUGUUCAACAGAAUUCUCGCGGGUGAGAAGAUACCGGAUAAAUGGAGGAAAAGUGUGCUAGUUCCCGUUUUUAAGAACAAAGGUGAUGCGCGAAGGUGGGGCAACUAGAGAGGGAUGAAGUUGAUGAGCCACACAAUGAAGUUAUGGGGAAGAGUCAGUCGGGGAGGCUAGACUGAGGACAGAAGGGAGUAUUUGCGAGUAUUUAUGCGGUGGCUACCCCGAACGGGAAAAGCCCAAAGGAAAACAUGAUGGACAUAUCUGGUAUCAGUGUUUCCCAACAUUUAGCAAGAAGUGCUUAAACUGGUUGGCUUUCUUGUACUUUGUGGCAUCUAGUUAAAAAAAUUGUAAGCGGGUCUUCCAAUCGAUUACACAUCAUUACCAUAGAUAAUGACUAACAAUAGAUUAUUUAUAAUACACAGGUGAAAUUUGACGAUCUCGGAGCCGCGAAUGUUGGGAAUCGCCGAUAUAAGCAGAAAAGACCCCCAAAUAUUUGGCAAAGUUCUUGGCGAGACGCAGUUGAGCAUCAAAUGUAUCUGGGAGGUUGUUCAGAGUUCUUCUCACCGUGCUUGUUGCGUCAUUUAGAGGACGAAGAAGAAGAAAAACGUCAGGCGGAAAUAUUUCAUUUUCAUUUCAGUCCUUCAUCUGCAGACGUGUAUCGGCAGACGUCCUCUGUCGAUUCCGCUCACUUCCUGCAGUUCUUGGGGACGACCUGUUCUCCGGGGGGUCCUUGUCCUCCUGCGGCCGGCGAGGAUCUCGUGUCCAGCGCGCAAGACCGCUCGCUCUACCCUGUCGCCGUGAAGGCGUCGUGCGCGCAACUCAUUCACUGUCAGUGACCCGUGCUACUAGCGCAACACAACACGGCGUGGGGGGUGGAAUCACGUACACACAAAGAACACACAGGCUGGGUUACUGCUUAUUGAUUUUGUAUUUAUUUAUUUAUUUAUUUUGUCGAUUAAAAUGUAAUCAUAUUUGAAGGAUUUAUUGCGAUCUACAAUGUUUUAGAGAUCAAAGGACUUUGACUCAAGAGAUCCAAUUUUUAGAUCUGUUCUACGUUGAUGGAAUCUGCUUUGAGGUGAACUUGAACACUUUGAACAUCAAUUAUGUUUAUGUAAGUAUGCAGAAAAGUCAUCCUUGGUUGGUCAUGUGAUUUAACGAAGUGGAUCACAAGUGGAUUGAAAAUGGAACGCCAAUUGACACAAGUACGACACAAGGGGACUCAAAGUGGACCACAAGUGGACUACGCGAUCAAACAGCUUCACUUUAAUUGGACCGCAAAUGUAAUCAAAGUAAAUCUAAGUAAGUACAUCUGGACAACAAGUGGAAUACAACUCAACCGAAAGUGGAUCACAAAUGUAAUUGAAGUGGAAUAAUAUUGGACUAGCGGUGGAAUACUAACUCGGUUGACAUAGGCUGAGUAGAUUCAAAAUGGCACAUAUCUGGACCACAAGUGGAAUACACGUAGCUCAUAAGUGAAUCACUUGGAGAUUAGAAAUGGCUCACAAGUGGACCAAAAAGGUAAUACAGAUUAUUAAUCUGCACGAUCAAACAGCUUCACUUGAAGUGGACCGCAAAUAUAAUUAAAGUAAAUCAGAAGUACAGUAAGUGGAAUACAACUCAACCAAAAGUAGAUCACAAAUGGAAUAGAAGUGGAAUAAUAUUGGACUAGGGGUGGAAUACAAACUAGGUUGACAUAAAAAAAAAAGAUCAUAGGUGGACCAAAAGUAGAUUCGAAAUUGCACAUAUCUGGACCACAAGUGGAAUACACGUAGAUCAUAAGUGAAUCACUUGGAGAUUAGAAAUGGCUCACAAGUGGACCAAAAAUGUAAUCCAGAUUAUUAAUCUACAUGAUCAAAGUGCAUAACAAAUGUAAAGUAAAUCAGAAGUACAGCAAGUGGAAUACAAUCCAACCUAAAGUAGAUCACAAAUGGAAUAGAAGUGGAAUAACAUUGGACUCGGGGUGGAAUAAACUAGGUUGACAUAAAAAAAAAGAUCAUAAAUGGAGUAUAAUGCCUCAUAAAUGGACCACAAGUGGAUUUGAAAUGGCACAUAUGCGGAUCACAAGCGGAAUACACGUAGAUCACAAGUGAAUCACUUGGAGACUAGAAAUGGCUCACAAGUGGACCAAAAAUGUAAUCCAGAUUAUUAAUCUACAUGACCAAAGUGCAUAACAAAUAUAAUUAAAGUAAAUCAGAAGUACAGCAAGUGGAAUACAAUCCAACCUAAAGUAGAUCACACAUGGAAUAGAAGUGGAAUAACAUUGGACUCGGGGUGGAAUAAACUAGGUUGACAUAAAAAAAAAAGAUCAUAAAUGGAGUAUAAUGCCUCAUAAAUGGACCACAAGUGGAUUUGAAAUGGCACAUAUGCGGAUCACAAGCGGAAUACACGUAGAUCACAAGUGAAUCACUUGGAGACUAGAAAUGGCUCACAAGUGGACCAAAAAUGGAAUCCACAGACCGUAAGGUAAAUCAAGUAGGCUACAAAUGGAUUGCAAGUGGAUCAAAAGUGCAAUACACUUUGAUCACAAGUGGACUACAAAGGGAUUAGAAGUGGACUACAAAUGGAUCAUAAGUGAAUCACAAGUACAUUUCAAAUGGAUCACAAACGGACCAAAAGUGGAAUACAUGUUCAGUGGAUCAUAAAAGAAUCACAAGUGGACCAAAGAUGAACUACAAACGGAAUGAGUAGACAAAAAGUGAAAUACAAAUGGAUCAUUAGUUGACCACAAGUGGAUCAAAAGUGCAAUACACUUGGAUCACAAGUGGACUACAAAUGGAUCAUAAGUGAAUUGCAACUUCAUUUCAAAUGGAUCACAAAUGGACCAAAAGUGGAAUACAUGUUCAGUGGAUCAUAAGAGAAUCAGAAGUGGACUACAAAUGACAAAAAGUGAAAUACAUAUGGAUCAUAAGUGAGUCACAGCUAGACCACAAAUGGAUCAUUAGUUGACCUCAAGUGGAUUACAAAAGGAUCAUGUGGACAAAAAAGAAAUACGGAUCUGAUUGAGUUUGUGGAUUAUAAAUGGACUACAAAUGGAUCCUUUGUGGAUCAAAAAUUGAAUACAAAUGCAUUGCAAGUGGACCAAAAGUCGACUGCAAGUGGAAUAGAAGUAGCUGAAAAGUGUAUCAGUUAUUAUUGUCAGGUGACCUGGUUCAAAGGGAUUCCGUCGUCCGGGUGACGGCAUCCCUUUGUCAGGUGACCUGGUUCAAGGGGUUGCGUCGUCAGGGUGACCAGGUUCAAAGGGUUGCAUCGUCCGUUCAUCGGGUGACCUGGUUCAAGGGGUUGCGUCGUCCAGGUAACGGAGUCCGUUUGCCGGGUGGCCUGGUACAAAGGGUUGCGUCGUCCGGGUGACAACGUCCGUCCGUCGGGUGACCUGGUUCAAAGGGUUGCGUCGUCAGGGUGACGGUCUCCCUUUGUCAGGUGACCUGGUUCAAAGGGCUGCGUCGUCGCGGUGACGGCGUCUGUCAGGUGACCUGGUUCAAAGGGUUGUGUCGUCAAGGUGACAACGUCCGUCCGUCCGUCGGGUGACCUGGUUCAAAGGGCUGCGUCGUCGCGGUGACGGCGUCUGUCAGGUGACCUGGUUCAAAGGGUUGUGUCGUCAGGGUGACAACGUCCGUCCGUCCGUCGGGUGACCUGGUUCAAAGGGUUGCGUCGUCGUGGUGACUGCAUCAUUUUGUCAGGUGAC